CUGUGAGCUCGAUGAGUAGGGCGGGACACGUGGUAUCCUGUCUGAAUAUGGGGGGACCAUCCUCCAAGGCUAAAUACUCCUGACUGACCGAUAGUGAACCAGUACCGUGAGGGAAAGGCGAAAAGAACCCCGGCGAGGGGAGUGAAAAAGAACCUGAAACCGUGUACGUACAAGCAGUGGGAGCACGCUUAGGCGUGUGACUGCGUACCUUUUGUAUAAUGGGUCAGCGACUUAUAUUCUGUAGCAAGGUUAACCGAAUAGGGGAGCCGAAGGGAAACCGAGUCUUAACUGGGCGUUAAGUUGCAGGGUAUAGACCCGAAACCCGGUGAUCUAGCCAUGGGCAGGUUGAAGGUUGGGUAACACUAACUGGAGGACCGAACCGACUAAUGUUGAAAAAUUAGCGGAUGACUUGUGGCUGGGGGUGAAAGGCCAAUCAAACCGGGAGAUAGCUGGUUCUCCCCGAAAGCUAUUUAGGUAGCGCCUCGUGAAUUCAUCUCCGGGGGUAGAGCACUGUUUCGGCAAGGGGGUCAUCCCGACUUACCAACCCGAUGCAAACUGCGAAUACCGGAGAAUGUUAUCACGGGAGACACACGGCGGGUGCUAACGUCCGUCGUGAAGAGGGAAACAACCCAGACCGCCAGCUAAGGUCCCAAAGUCAUGGUUAAGUGGGAAACGAUGUGGGAAGGCCCAGACAGCCAGGAUGUUGGCUUAGAAGCAGCCAUCAUUUAAAGAAAGCGUAAUAGCUCACUGGUCGAGUCGGCCUGCGCGGAAGAUGUAACGGGGCUAAACCAUGCACCGAAGCUGCGGCAGCGACGCUUAUGCGUUGUUGGGUAGGGGAGCGUUCUGUAAGCCUGUGAAGGUGUGCUGUGAGGCAUGCUGGAGGUAUCAGAAGUGCGAAUGCUGACAUAAGUAACGAUAAAGCGGGUGAAAAGCCCGCUCGCCGGAAGACCAAGGGUUCCUGUCCAACGUUAAUCGGGGCAGGGUGAGUCGACCCCUAAGGCGAGGCCGAAAGGCGUAGUCGAUGGGAAACAGGUUAAUAUUCCUGUACUUGGUGUUACUGCGAAGGGGGGACGGAGAAGGCUAUGUUGGCCGGGCGACGGUUGUCCCGGUUUAAGCGUGUAGGCUGGUUUUCCAGGCAAAUCCGGAAAAUCAAGGCUGAGGCGUGAUGACGAGGCACUACGGUGCUGAAGCAACAAAUGCCCUGCUUCCAGGAAAAGCCUCUAAGCAUCAGGUAACAUCAAAUCGUACCCCAAACCGACACAGGUGGUCAGGUAGAGAAUACCAAGGCGCUUGAGAGAACUCGGGUGAAGGAACUAGGCAAAAUGGUGCCGUAACUUCGGGAGAAGGCACGCUGAUAUGUAGGUGAAGUCCCUCGCGGAUGGAGCUGAAAUCAGUCGAAGAUACCAGCUGGCUGCAACUGUUUAUUAAAAACACAGCACUGUGCAAACACGAAAGUGGACGUAUACGGUGUGACGCCUGCCCGGUGCCGGAAGGUUAAUUGAUGGGGUCAGCGCAAGCGAAGCUCUUGAUCGAAGCCCCGGUAAACGGCGGCCGUAACUAUAACGGUCCUAAGGUAGCGAAAUUCCUUGUCGGGUAAGUUCCGACCUGCACGAAUGGCGUAAUGAUGGCCAGGCUGUCUCCACCCGAGACUCAGUGAAAUUGAACUCGCUGUGAAGAUGCAGUGUACCCGCGGCAAGACGGAAAGACCCCGUGAACCUUUACUAUAGCUUGACACUGAACAUUGAGCCUUGAUGUGUAGGAUAGGUGGGAGGCUUAGAAGUGUGGACGCCAGUCUGCAUGGAGCCGACCUUGAAAUACCACCCUUUAAUGUUUGAUGUUCUAACGUUGACCCGUAAUCCGGGUUGCGGACAGUGUCUGGUGGGUAGUUUGACUGGGGCGGUCUCCUCCUAAAGAGUAACGGAGGAGCACGAAGGUUGGCUAAUCCUGGUCGGACAUCAGGAGGUUAGUGCAAUGGCAUAAGCCAGCUUGACUGCGAGCGUGACGGCGCGAGCAGGUGCGAAAGCAGGUCAUAGUGAUCCGGUGGUUCUGAAUGGAAGGGCCAUCGCUCAACGGAUAAAAGGUACUCCGGGGAUAACAGGCUGAUACCGCCCAAGAGUUCAUAUCGACGGCGGUGUUUGGCACCUCGAUGUCGGCUCAUCACAUCCUGGGGCUGAAGUAGGUCCCAAGGGUAUGGCUGUUCGCCAUUUAAAGUGGUACGCGAGCUGGGUUUAGAACGUCGUGAGACAGUUCGGUCCCUAUCUGCCGUGGGCGCUGGAGAACUGAGGGGGGCUGCUCCUAGUACGAGAGGACCGGAGUGGACGCAUCACUGGUGUUCGGGUUGUCAUGCCAAUGGCACUGCCCGGUAGCUAAAUGCGGAAGAGAUAAGUGCUGAAAGCAUCUAAGCACGAAACUUGCCCCGAGAUGAGUUCUCCCUGACUCCUUGAGAGUCCUGAAGGAACGUUGAAGACGACGACGUUGAUAGGCCGGGUGUGUAAGCGCAGCGAUGCGUUGAGCUAACCGGUACUAAUGAACCGUGAGGCUUAACCUUACAACGCCGAAG
rnacentral:rRNA from 1 species